rnacentral:rRNA from 1 species
UACGUAGGUGACCAGCGUUGUCCGGAUUUACUGGGCGUAAAGAGCGCGCAGGCGGUCGUUCAAGUCGAGUGUGAAAGCCCCCGGCUCAACUGGGGAGGGUCACUCGAUACUGAUCGACUGGAAGGCAGGAGAGGGAAGCGGAAUUCCCUGUGUAGUGGUGAAAUGCGUAGAUAUCGGGAGGAACACCAGUGGCGAAGGCGGCUUCCUGGCCUGUUCUUGACGCUGAGGCGCGAAAGCUAGGGGAGCAAACGGG